AGGCCCUGCAUGGCCUGGUCUUGUCUCCAUCUCCUGCCAGUGCCCCAGAAGAAAUCUGUUCCUGUCACACUGAACUCCCCAUAUGGCGUGUUGAGUCUGCAAGGAGCAGGUCUGGAAAGGAUACAGAAACAAAGUACCAUCUUGGAAGCAGAGACCAGGCCCUUACUAGGUGUCACAUCUGUUGGAGCCUUGAUUUUGGACCUCCAGCCUCCAGAAACGGAGAAGAGGAAAACCAGGUUCCAACCCUGAGAAUGUGCCAGAGGCUAUUGGGGAAACAGCCAGUCUGUGGGUGAGAGGGACACUCCCUCUGCAAGGUACAUCCUGCUCAAAGGAAACUGCAAGUGACGAUUUCCCUCUGACCAAAAGGCAUUGAGAAGGAUAAAGGUCUGAACCAUUUCCAGAUAGCAUCCCUUGGACUCCUGAGCUGACUGACAUUCUGGUCUCUUCCCUUGGGUCUCAGCUUGGUGGGACACUAGGGCCCUUGAGCAAAGCUCUGAGCCCAUCCAGCCUCCAUCUGGGGACUCCCUUAGAGUACUGUCCCAGGGACCUGUAGGAAACUUACUAUCUGGAAUAAAGACCUACUUAU